CUAGAGAUAGGCCGUUCCCCUUCGGGGGACAGAGUGACAGGUGGUGCAUGGUUGUCGUCAGCUCGUGUCGUGAGAUGUUGGGUUAAGUCCCGCAACGAGCGCAACCCUUGAUCUUAGUUGCCAGCAUUAAGUUGGGCACUCUAAGGUGACUGCCGGUGACAAACCGGAGGAAGGUGGGGAUGACGUCAAAUCAUCAUGCCCCUUAUGAUCUGGGCUACACACGUGCUACAAUGGGCGGUACAAAGGGCAGCGAAACCGCAAGGUCAAGCCAAUCCCAUAAAGCCGCCCCCAGUUCGGAUUGCAGGCUGCAACUCGCCUGCAUGAAGCCGGAAUUGCUAGUAAUCGCGGAUCAGCAUGCCGCGGUGAAUCCGUUCCCGGGCCUUGUACACACCGCCCGUCACACCACGAGAGUUUGUAACACCCGAAGUCGGUGUGGGAACCUUUAUGGACCCAGCCGCCGAAGGUGGGACAAAUGAUUGGGGUGAAGUCGUAACAAGGUAGCCGUAUCGGAAGGUGCGGCUGGAUCACCUCCUUUCUAA
rnacentral:rRNA from 1 species